AGGCUUUGAUCCUGGCUCAGGACGAACGCUGGCGGUAUGCCUAAUACAUGCAAGUCGAACGCUGAAGCACUCUGCUUGCAGAGUGCGGAUGAGUGGCGAACGGGUGAGUAACACGUGGGUAACCUGCCCAUAAGAGGAGGAUAACAUCCGGAAACGGGUGCUAAUACCGCAUAGGUGAACGGAGCGCAUGCUCUGUUCAUUAAAGAUGGCCUUGUGCUAUCGCUUAUGGAUGGACCCGCGGCGUAUUAGCUAGUUGGUGAGGUAAUGGCUCACCAAGGCGAUGAUACGUAGCCGACCUGAGAGGGUGAUCGGCCACACUGGGACUGAGACACGGCCCAGACUCCUACGGGAGGCAGCAGUAGGGAAUCUUCCACAAUGGGCGAAAGCCUGAUGGAGCAAUACCGCGUGAGUGAAGAAGGUCUUCGGAUCGUAAAGCUCUGUUGUUAGAGAAGAACACGCAGAACAGUAACUGGUUUUGCGCUGACGGUAUCUAACCAGAAAGUCACGGCUA
rnacentral:rRNA from 1 species